rnacentral:misc_RNA from 1 species
CCCUCUUAUACCGCAUUUGACAACAGUAUCAUGCGAUUUUAAGCAUCUUCAUAAAGAAGAUGCGAUACCGUGCUAUGCACUAAGUUGUAGCAUACUAUAAAAACCUUAACUUUUAAGCAAUUGCCACACGAUUUAUAGUAAAUAUUGAUCAAUAUAACAACGAGAAUAAUAUAAGAAAUCCAAUUAUCAAAACAAAUGAACACCUUCUUUCCACGAAUCACAGCU